UACGGAGGGUGCAAGCGUUAUCCGGAUUUACUGGGUUUAAAGGGUGUGUAGGCGGACUUUUAAGUCAGCGGUGAAAUCUCCGGGCUCAACCCGGAAACUGCCAUUGAUACUAUUAGUCUUGAAUAUUGUUGAGGCAGGCGGAACGGGUCAUGUAGCGGUGAAAUGCGUAGAUAUGACCCGGAACACCGAUUGCGAAGGCAGCCUACUAAGCAAUUAUUGACGCUGAGGCACGAAAGCGUGGGGAUCAAACAGG
rnacentral:rRNA from 1 species